rnacentral:rRNA from 1 species
UACGUAGGGGGCUAGCGUUGUCCGGAUUUAUUGGGCGUAAAGAGCGUGUAGGCGGCCAGGUAGGUCCGGUGUGAAAACUCGAGGCUUAACCUCGAGAUGUCAUCGGAAACCAUCUGGCUAGAGUCCGGAAGAGGAAAGUGGAAUUCCUGGUGUAGCGGUGAAAUGCGCAGAUAUCAGGAAGAACACCAAUGGCGAAGGCGGCUCUCUGGGACGGUACUGACGCUGAGACGCGAAAGCGUGGGGAGCGAACAGG